rnacentral:lncRNA from 1 species
GGUCUUGUGAGGACAGAGGCAUUGACCAGGUGGGGGAUACUGAACUGGUCCACUUGCAGUGGGACUAAGUCAGGUAAGCUCAGGUCUGCCCAGCGCUGUCCACACUCCCCGGAUGUGAGGCUGUUGUCUAUCAAAGCCAAGAUGGAACCAGGAAGUGGGCUUCUGUUGAUGUGAGCUGCAUCCGUGACCUACACCAUAGCUCAUGGCAACACUGGAUCCUUAACCCACUGAGCGAGGCCAGGGAUCAAAGCCGCAUCCUCAUGGAUGCUAGUCAGGUUCAUUACCGCCAAGUCACGACAGGAAUCCUGGAGGGUUCUUUUUUUUUUUUUUUUUUUUUUUUGUCCAUAAACACGAGUUUAAUUAGCCUUUGGGGCCCUGCAAGGAAGAAAUAAGCAAACAGAAUCCACCCCUGAGACUGUUAAAAGUGACAGACGCCUGGAGACUUGAAGUGCUGGGGAUGAGACCCAAAGAGGCUCAAUGAAGGGCUGAAAACUUGAGACUCAAUCCUUUUCUGCAGGGGAUCAGGGGACAGCGCUAAGCUCCCGCAGCCGAGGGCAGGGCCCUCAGGAAGGAUCAGGUCAGGAGGAGAGGGCAGCGGACUAGGUCUGCUCACGCCCGGACAGCCGCGGGCUCUUCUCGCAGGAUCUUGCCGGGAGCCGUGUCCACUCUUGCUGGACCAGGUUGGACCUGAGGCCCCUGAAAACCAGAGUUGGAAUACCCUGGGUAGGAGGAGGAACUGGAGGAGAAAAUCGCAAAAGCAAAGAGGCGGUGGUGGAGUCUCGCAGCCGGUUAAAGAUCCGGCAUUGUCACUCCCGCCUGGACCCCUUCUUAUUUUUAUCUGCUCUCAUCCUUAUCUGCCUCACGAGGAGGUGUAACUCUUGUGAGGUUUGCCCUUUUCCAGAAGAACUACCUGAGAAUCCUGGGGGUGACUCCAGGCGAGGAGCCCCCACCCCUUUCCAGACACCAGCUGGAAAGAGCAUUGAAGAUGGGCCGUGGUCUCCAUUCUGCCUUGUGUGGCUGCCAUGUGGCAGGGCCACUGGGAACAGUCCCUGGGGUUUUGUGGUGGACACUUGGCCACGGCUAGCGGGACGUCCCUGCUGGUCUCCACACCCAGGCGGGCCCCUGUCUGGGGGCCAAGUUCACAAAUCUUUCUAACUCAUGGUGAUGUACACCUGCACUGAUCCCCCUCCCUAAGCCUGGGUUCAUGAUAACCCCUAACACCAUCCAUGGACAGUGCUGGAGCCAAGCCAGCACCCCAAACCCCUGACCCUUGAGUUCACACUUCCUUUACUUUAAGGCACAAGAAUUUUUUUUUUUUUUUUGCUAUUUCUUGGGCCGCUCCCGCGGCAUAUGGAGGUUCCCAGGCUAGGGGUCCAAUUGGAGCUAUAGCCACCAGCCUACGCCAGAGCCACAGCAACGCGGGAUCCGAGCCACGUCUGCAACCUACACCACAGCUCACGGCAACACUGGAUCGUUAACCCACUGAGCAAGGGCAGGGACCGAACCCGCAACCUCAUGGUUCCUAGUCGGAUUCGUUAACCACUGCGCCACGACGGGAACUCCGAAUUUUUCUUUCUUGUCUUGUUUUUUCCUAACCAUUGGUCCAUGGUUGAAACCAUCUCUGUGGUACCCAGCUGCAUCCUAUUUAACAAACAGAAGGAAUUUAAUACAAGGAUGGAUGACACAGUGCAGAAGGGCUGAGAUACCCCAGGGACUCAUCUUCCAUCCGCUGAAGGGACUGGGGAGAGGGUAGUGUUACUGGAGCCAGGACUUGGGGCCCUUGCUGUGGAGGGUGGGGGAGCAUGGGCAGGACUCCAGAAGGAGAGAUGGAAAAGACACAGCACUUCCUGAAAUGCCCCUAAGACCGGCAACGAGUGUGUCUGCCCUAGACCUGGUCACAGGCAGUGGUGAGCUGGUCGGAGCCCAACAACCUGGCCCAACUCCAAGUACAAAUUUUCCUUUUCUUUUUUUUUUUUUUUUUGGCUGCACCUGUGGCAUGUGAAAAUUCCUGGGCCAGCAGGGAUCAAACCCGUGCCACAGCGACCUGAGCCACAGCAGUAAUAAUGCUGGAUCCUUAACCUGCUAAGCCACCAGGAAACUCCCAACAUGACAGGGGUUUUAAUCCCAACUAAUUCUCUUUAAAAAAAUAGAAAGUAGUAGGAGUUCCUGUCGUGGCUCAGAAAUAACAAACCCAACUAGUAUCCAUGACGAUGAGUGUUCAAGCCCUGGCCUUGCUCAGAGGGUUAAGGAUCUAGUGUUACCAUGAGCUGUGGUGUAGGUUGCAGGCGAGGCUCAGUGUUGCGGUGCCUGUGGUGUAGGCCAGCAGCUGCAGCUCCCAUUUGACCCCUAGCUUGGGAACUUCCAUAUGCCGCAGGUCCAGCCCCAAAAAAGAAAGAACCCGUAUCCAGGGGCUGGAUUCUUAACCUGCUAGAUCACCAGGAGACUCCAAUUCUGCUUAAUUCUUGGAAUAACCCCAAGGAGCACUGAGAACUUCUAUACCCCUCCUGCAGAUGGGGAACCAGAGACUCAAGGAGGGAAGUGACCUGGCACAAGGCACAUGCUUUGCACCAGGCAGUCCUGGGGUCUUACUCAGACUGGCUCGACUGCAAACAUCUGUUCCUCCCACUCUGCCCGGCUGUCUAGUAUUUGUCGUUUUUUUGUUUGUUUGUUGUUUUUCUUUUUAAACAACAGUCAUGUUUUAAAUGGCAAACAUACAAGCAAACAGAACUUAAUAAAACUUAAUAGCAAGCCCACUGCUUUCAUUAAUUCAAUUAUAAAUUGGCUCUGCAGCAAAUUCAGAAAAAUCCAUGUCAUUUGUUUAAAAUGGCUCAUUUGUAACCAAAGCUAAUAAAUAGUUCUCUGGGAAAGGCAGCUCAUAAGCAGAUGCUUCUGAUGAGAAACAGUGAGCAUACAGAGUUGGUUUUUUUUUUCCUUUCCUCUGCACUUGAUAGAGAUGAUGUGUACCAGAAUUUAAUUUUGUCUAAUAAAAAUGUUCAUCACUC